rnacentral:rRNA from 1 species
UACGUAGGGGGCCAGCGUUGUCCGAAGUUACUGGGCGUAAAGAGCGCGUAGGCGGGUCUUUAAGUGAGGGGUGAAAGGUUCAGGGCUCAACCCGGACACUGCCUUUCAUACUGGGGACCUUGAGUGUGGGAGAGGCGAGUGGAAUUCUUGGUGUAGCGGUGAAAUGCGCAGAUAUCAGGAGGAACACCGGUGGCGAAGGCGGGUCUCUGGGCCGAUAUUGACGCUGAGGAGCGAAAGCGUGGGGAGCGAACAGG